GAUGAACGCUGGCGGCGUGCCUAAUACAUGCAAGUCGAGCGAACAGACGAGGAGCUUGCUCCUCUGACGUUAGCGGCGUACGGGUGAGUAACACGUGGAUAACCUACCUAUAAGACUGGGAUAACUUCGGGAAACCGGAGCUAAUACCGGAUAAUAUAUUGAACCGCAUGGUUCAAUAGUGAAAGACGGUUUUGCUGUCACUUAUAGAUGGAUCCGCGCCGCAUUAGCUAGUUGGUAAGGUAACGGCUUACCAAGGCAACGAUUCGUAGCCGACCUGAGAGGGUGAUCGGCCGCACUGGAACUGAGACACGGUCCAGACUCCUACGAGAGGCAGCAGUAGGGAAUCUUCCGCAAUGGGCGAAAGCCUGACGGAGCAACGCCGCGUGAGUGAUGAAGGUCUUCGGAUCGUAAAACUCUGUUAUUAGGGAAGAACAAAUGUGUAAGUAACUAUGCACGUCUUGACGGUACCUAAUCAGAAAGCCACGGCUAACUACGUG
rnacentral:rRNA from 1 species